rnacentral:sRNA from 1 species
GUCUGCUUGCCCAGAGCACGAGCUGUGAGGGGAUUCACUUGUGUGCGGAACUCCUCGGAACCAUGGUCUUUACAUAGUCCCGGCAGCCCAGGCCCGCGCCUCACCCCGAGCGAAGAAAUUUCUAGUGUGGGACCCGCUCCGCCCUCUCUCUAGGGGCGGAGCCUGGAGCGACGGGGUGGGAGCCAUCCGAGGGUGGAGGGGCCGCAGACUUCCGAGGGUGGAAGAUGGAGGCCGCGUUCCCUCGCCCGCCCGACAGGCGUCACCUUGAUGGCCUGCAACCCCUCCCUGCCUCAUUCUUAGUUCAAGAUCGUCUUUAGUCUCGCUGCGUCCCUUUCCCUUGCACCUGUUAACAUCUUCAAGGCAGGAGCUGAUGAAGAGAGAGCAGAGACAGCUCGUCUGACUUCUUUUAUUGGUGCCAUCGCCAUUGGAGACUUGGUAAAGAGCACCUUGGGACCCAAAGGCAUGGUAAGAAAAAUAGAAAAGUUUUAUAUUUUAAUAUUGUUUUAGAGCCCUUGGUGGAAAUAUAACAACAAACGUAUUAAAAUGUCUUUUAAUCUUUAAAACGUUUAAUU